CGGAAACAAGCUGUCUCUUUUUGGUUAUAUUGAAGUUUCUUUAAGGGUGCAAAGUCCCUUGAUUAGAAAAAAGACGAGAAGACCCUUAGAGUUUUUAUUAAAGAUAAGAAUUUAUUUAAGUUUUUGCUGGGGCGGCAAAGAGACAAAGCAAUUAAACUCUCUUUUUAUUGUUUUUAGAAGACGAAAAUGUUAAGAAUCAUUAAACUACCUUAGGGAUAACAGCAUAAUUAAAUUUUAGUUUGUGACCUCGAUGUUGGACUAGGAAGGCUUUUGACCAGCAGUCAAAAAGUGUGGUUCUGUUCGAACUAA
rnacentral:rRNA from 1 species